AUGGCCCUUACGGCCUGGGCUGCACACGUACUACAAUGCUCAGCACAGAACGAUCCGAGACCGCGAGGUGGAGGAAAUCUAGUAAAACUGAGCUCAGUUCGGAUUGGAGGCUGCAAUCGCCUCCAUGAAGCUGGAAUCGCUAGUAAUGCCGUAUCAGCUACGACGGCGUGAAUACGUUCCCGGGCCUUGUACACACCGCCCGUCACAUCAUGGAAGUCACUUGUAGCCGAAGUGCGCGCGCUAACCAGCAAUGGAGGCAGCGCCCUACGCUAUGAGCGGUAACUGGGAUGAAGUCGUAACAAGGUAGCCGUAGGGGAACCUGCGGCUGGAUCACCUCCUUUCUAAGGAGA
rnacentral:rRNA from 1 species